rfam:Myotis davidii contig96142, whole genome shotgun sequence.
AGGCCCGAAGAGAGAGGCAGAGUCUGAUCCAGAGCCUCCGUGGCAGCUAUUGAUCAGCUGUUGCCUCUCUUUCUCUCUGGG